rnacentral:misc_RNA from 1 species
GAUGAAGAACGUAGCGAAAUGCGAUAAGUAAUGUGAAUUGCAGAAUUCAGUGAAUCAUCGAAUCUUUGAACGCACAUUGCGCUCCCUGGUAUUCCGGGGAGCAUGCCUGUUCGAGCGUCAUUACAACCCUCAAGCUCUGCUUGGUGUUGGGCCCCGCCGCCCCGGCGGGCCCUAAAGUCAGUGGCGGUGCCGUCCGGCUCCGAGCGUAGUAAUUUUUCUCGCUUUGGAGGCCCGGGCGCGUGAUUGCCAUCAACCCCCAAUUUUUUUCAGGUUGACCUCGGAUCAGGUAGGGAUAGCCGCUGAACUUAAGCAUAUCAAUAAGCGGAGGA